rnacentral:tRNA from 2 species
UUAGAAAGAUAGGAAUUGAACCUAUAACUG